rnacentral:rRNA from 1 species
GACGAACGCUGGCGGCGUGCUUAACACAUGCAAGUCGAACGGAAAGGCCCUGCUUUUGUGGGUUGCUCGAGUGGCGAACGGGUGAGUAACACGUGAGUAACCUGCCCUUGACUUUGGGAUAACUUCAGGAAACUGGGGCUAAUACCGGAUAGGAGCUCCUGCUGCAUGGUGGGGGUUGGAAAGUUUCGGCGGUUGGGGAUGGACUCGCGGCUUAUCAGCUUGUUGGUGGGGUAGUGGCUUACCAAGGCUUUGACGGGUAGCCGGCCUGAGAGGGUGACCGGCCACCUUGGGACUGCGAUACGGCCCAGACUCCUACGGGAGGCAGCAGGGGGAAAUAUUGCACAACGGGCGGAAGCCUGAUGCAGCAACGCCGCGUGCGGGAUGACGGCCUUCGGGUUGUAAACCGCUUUCGCCGGUGACGAAGCGGGAGUGACGGUAAUGGGUAAAGAAGCACCGGCUAACUACGUG